CCAGGCAUCCGCCGGCCAGAACCCCUCCGACCAAAAAGCCCCCGCAGCCUUCGACGCAAAGGGCACCAUCGGCGGCGCUUUCACCAAAGAUGGCGCCAUCGGCAGCGUCGGCGAGAAGGUCGGCGGACCACUUUCCAGCGAUGGUGCGAUUGGCAAGAACUUCAACCCGGAUGGCGCGAUUGGAGAGAGCGUGCAGAAUGCGCUUGGUGGAGAGAAGAAGUGAUGGG
rnacentral:misc_RNA from 1 species